rnacentral:rRNA from 1 species
GCAUAUCAAUAAGCGGAGGAAAAGAAACCAACAGGGAUUGCCCUAGUAACGGCGAGUGAAGCGGCAACAGCUCAAAUUUGAAAUCUGGCGCAAGCCCGAGUUGUAAUUUGUAGAGGAUGCUUCUGGCCAGCGGCCGUUCUAAGUUCCUUGGAACAGGACGUCAUAGAGGGUGAGAAUCCCGUAUGUGACCGGCGCGCAGCCUUUACGUAGCUCCUUCGACGAGUCGAGUUGUUUGGGAAUGCAGCUCUAAAUGGGAGGUAAAUUUCUUCUAAAGCUAAAUACCGGCCAGAGACCGAUAGCGCACAAGUAGAGUGAUCGAAAGAUGAAAAGCACUUUGGAAAGAGAGUUAAAAAGCACGUGAAAUUGUUGAAAGGGAAGCGCUUGCAACCAGACUUCGUAGCGAUGUUCCGCUGGUCUUUUGACCGGUCUACUCAUCGUCGCGAGGCCAACAUCGUCUGGGCCCGCUGGAUAAGACCUAAGGAAUGUAGCUUCCCUCGGGAAGUGUUAUAGCCUGUGGUGAUGCAGCGCGGCUCGGGCGAGGUCCGCGCUUCGGCAAGGAUGUUGGCGUAAUGGUUGUCAGCGGCCCGUCUUGAAACACGGACCAAGGAGUCUAACAUCUAUGCGAGUGUUCGGGUGUCAAACCCCUACGCGUAAUGAAAGUGAACGGAGGUGGGAAGCGCAAGCUGCACCAUCGACCGAUCCUGAUGUCCUCGGAUGGAUUUGAGUAAGAGCAUAGCUGUUGGGACCCGAAAGAUGGUGAACUAUGCCUGAAUAGGGUGAAGCCAGAGGAAACUCUGGUGGAGGCUCGCAGCGGUUCUGACGUGCAAAUCGAUCGUCAAAUUUGGGUAUAGGGGGCGAAAGACUAAUCGAACCAUCUAGUAGCUGGUUUCCUGCCGAAG